rnacentral:rRNA from 1 species
AGUGAACGCUGGCGGCAUGCCUAACACAUGCAAGUCGAACGGCAGCACAGCAGUAGCAAUACUGUGGGUGGCGAGUGGCGGACGGGUGAGGAACACAUCGGAAUUUGCCCAGUCGUGGGGGAUAACGUAGGGAAACUUACGCUAAUACCGCAUACGACCUUACGGUGAAAGCGGGGGAGUCGCAAGACCUCGCGCGGAUGGAUGAGCCGAUGUCGGAUUAGCUAGUUGGUAGGGUAAAGGCCUACCAAGGCGACGAUCCGUAGCGGGUCUGAGAGGACGGCCCGCCACACUGGGACUGAGACACGGCCCAGACUCCUACGGGAGGCAGCAGUGGGGAAUUUUGGACAAUGGGGGCGAACCCUGAUCCAGCCAUGCCGCGUGAAGGACGAAGGCGCUCAGCGUUGUAAACUUCUUUUGGAUGGGAACAAUAAUCGAGACUUGUCUUGACUUGAGGGUACCAUCAGAAUAAGCACCGGCUAACUCCGUGCCAGCAGC